CAGUCGCCGGUAAUACGAAGGGUGCAAGCGUUAAUCGGAAUUACUGGGCGUAAAGCGUGCGUAGGCGGUUUGUUAAGUCUGCUGUGAAAUCCCCGGGCUCAACCUGGGGAUGGCAGUGGAUACUGGCAAGCUAGAGUGUGUCAGAGGAUGGUGGAAUUCCCGGUGUAGCGGUGAAAUGCGUAGAGAUCGGGAGGAACAUCAGUGGCGAAGGCGGCCAUCUGGGACAACACUGACGCUGAGGCACGAAAGCGUGGGGAGCAAACAGGAUUAGAUACCCCUGUAGUCCCUGUCUCUUAUACAC
rnacentral:rRNA from 1 species